GACCCAACCGAAAGGAGGGAGCUGCCGAAGGUGGGACCGAUAACUGGGGUGAAGUCGUAACAAGGUAGCCGUAUCGGAAGGUGCGGCUGGAUCACCUCCUUUCUAAGGAA
rnacentral:rRNA from 1 species